rnacentral:rRNA from 1 species
GUCGAGCGAACAGAUGAGGAGCUUGCUCCUUUGACGUUAGCGGCGGACGGGUGAGUAACACGUGGAUAACCUACCUAUAAGACUGGGAUAACUUCGGGAAACCGGAGCUAAUACCGGAUAAGAUUUUGAACCGCAUGGUUCAAUAGUGAAAGACGGCCUUGCUGUCACUUAUAGAUGGAUCCGCGCCGUAUUAGCUAGUUGGUAAGGUAACGGCUUACCAAGGCAACGAUACGUAGCCGACCUGAGAGGGUGAUCGGCCACACUGGAACUGAGACACGGUCCAGACUCCUACGGGAGGCAGCAGUAGGGAAUCUUCCGCAAUGGGCGAAAGCCUGACGGAGCAACGCCGCGUGAGUGAUGAAGGUCUUCGGAUCGUAAAACUCUGUUAUCAGGGAAGAACAAACGUGUAAGUAACUGUGCACGUCUUGACGGUACCUGAUCAGAAAGCCACGGCUAACUACGUGCCAGCAGCCGCGGUAAUACGUAGGUGGCAAGCGUUAUCCGGAAUUAUUGGGCGUAAAGCGCGCGUAGGCGGUUUUUUAAGUCUGAUGUGAAAGCCCACGGCUCAACCGUGGAGGGUCAUUGGAAACUGGAAAACUUGAGUGCAGAAGAGGAAAGUGGAAUUCCAUGUGUAGCGGUGAAAUGCGCAGAGAUAUGGAGGAACACCAGUGGCGAAGGCGACUUUCUGGUCUGUAACUGACGCUGAUGUGCGAAAGCGUGGGGAUCAAACAGGAUUAGAUACCCUGGUAGUCCACGCCGUAAACGAUGAGUGCUAAGUGUUAGGGGGGUUUCCGCCCCUUAGUGCUGCAGCUAACGCAUUAAGCACUCCGCCUGGGGGAGUACGACCGCAAGGGUUGAAACUCAAAGGAAUUGACGGGGACCCGCACAAGCGGUGGAGCAUGUGGUUAAUUCGAAGCAACGC